CCAGACUCCUACGGGAGGCAGCAGUGGGGAAUAUUGCACAAUGGGCGAAAGCCUGAUGCAGCAACGCCGCGUGAAGGAAGAAGGGUUUCGGCUCGUAAACUUCUAUCAACAGGGACGAAAGAAAUGACGGUACCUGAAUAAGAAGCCCCGGCUAACUACGUGCCAGCAGCCGCGGUAAUACGGGGGGUGCAAGCGUUGUCCGGAAUCAUUGGGCGUAAAGAGUUCGUAGGCGGCACGUAAAGUCUGGUGUUAAAGGCAGAGGCUCAACUUCUGUACGGCACUGGAUACUUGCGAGCUAGAAUGCGGUAGAGGUAAAGGGAAUUCCUGGUGUAGCGGUGAAAUGCUUAGAUAUCAGGAGGAACAUCGGUGGCGUAAGCGCUUUACUGGGCCGUAAUUGACGCUGAGGAACGAAAGCCAGGGUAGCAAAUGGGAUUAGAUACCCUAGUA
rnacentral:rRNA from 1 species